rnacentral:rRNA from 1 species
UACGAAGGGGGCUAGCGUUGCUCGGAAUUACUGGGCGUAAAGCGCACGUAGGCGGAUUGUUAAGUCGGGGGUGAAAUCCUGGAGCUCAACUCCAGAACUGCCUUCGAUACUGGCGAUCUCGAGUUCGGGAGAGGUGAGUGGAACUGCGAGUGUAGAGGUGAAAUUCGUAGAUAUCAAGCGGAACACCGGUGGCGAAGGCGGCCUUCUGGACAGUGACUGACGCUGAGACGCGAAAGCGUGGGGAGCAAACAGG